UGCCUAAAAGUGUUAGAAGAAGAAAAAAAAAUGACAGUGAAUUAUGCUGCAGGUAUACAUAGCAGAUAGGAACUAAUAUAAUGACCAAUUGAUUAAAGCAGCAGGAAAUGGGGAAUUGCAAAAUUGUCCUCAAUCCUUGAAGACUCUGGAGCCAAUCCAGACAAAAUUUACAUGGAAUGCAUAUCUACAUGUUACAGAGUGAAAGAAAAGUCCCUACACAGUGAUAGGCUGAAGGUCACAUCUUCAUGUGAAGGAAUGGUGAAUGUCCUGUCCUCAGCUGAAGGAAGAAAUGAUGCCAAGUACUCACCUGAUAAAUUUGAAUGCCUUCUUCUCUGAGGGAGUAAGAACACCAUGUCUGAAGAAUUAUCAUCACCCAGCACUCAUUUGAUGGAAUAUUGAACACCUUCUCUUCACCAGACAGACGGGUGUAGGCCAUUUCCUAAUGUGAGCAUAAGAAAUAGACUUCAAUGAACAGAACUUUCAAAAUAUUCUGACCAUGUGAAACGAGAAUCAGAAGAACUCUUCUGUGGCCCUGGCCAAGCACUUGCAGGUGAAGGGAACUUUGGAGAAGGAGGUUGGACUCAUCCAGGCGCGUCUGAGAGAAAAGGAAGAGGAGAGCCAAGGUAGAACUGAAGACGUCUCCAAACUCCAGACCGAGGUUCAGAGGACUCAGCAGGCAUUAAAACAGUUGGAAACCAGAGAGGUAGUUGAUUUGUCCAAACACAAGGCAAUUAAAAGUGAUUUGGAGGCAUAGAUUUCUAAAUUAAAUGAAAGAGUGGCCAAUCUGAAUAGAAAAUAUGAGGAAGUCUGUGAGGAGGUUUUGCAUGCCAAAAAGAAAGAGCUGCCCACAAAAGAAGAGAAGGAAUUUCUACAUUUCAACCUGGAGCAGGAGAUCAAGGAUCAGAAGGAAUGAUGCGAUGGGUCCCUAACAACAGUCACGGAGCUGCAGAGAAGAAUUCAAGAAUCUGCUAAACAACUUGAAGCCAAAGAUGAUAAGAUAACUGAACUGCUUAAUGAUGUCGAAAGGCUGAAGCAGGCACUCCAUGGCCUUUCCCAACUCACCCACAUGAGUGGGAGCCCCACCAAGAGGCAGAGCCAGCUCAUUGACAGUCUGCAGCACCAGGUGAAAUCCCUGCAGCGGCAACUGGCUGUACAAGUCACUUGUCCACACAUGGAUGCGUUAGGAAAGCAGUGGGUGAAUGACACCAAAUAACAGUAUCAUUGAACACAAGUGUUUGAUAGUUCUGGAUGGAAUGGCAAGCAGGGCUGCUGGUGAUCCCCACCUAUUGGCAGUGAGUCUGGGGAUCUGCACCACCUCAUCUCAGGGUAAGUUCUGUUUUCAGAAACUCCUUUCUUGAUACAGGACAUUUCUGCCCAGGGCCUUGGCCUUGUGGCCAGCCCAACACAUUCCAGGCUCAGGUCUCUGUUGGGCCAAUGAUAAAUGGCCUAGUAAGCCACUCGGGGGAGUGGACCAGAAUAGAACUGGACAUGGGGCAGGAGUCUGGGUCCUCAGUCGUGUGAUUUCCAACAGUUCAGUGGGGGCAUGGAAGCAGACCUGCAACAUCUAGAAGGGGGCAGCUAGGGGAGGCCACUUGUACUGAACCUCUCUCUGGGACUCACCAAAGAAAACAAGCACAGGAAGGGUUUGUAGCAUGGGGUAAGUUGCCCCUGUCUCUGUGCUGGGGGAAGAUUUGUGGCCUGCUCUGGAGGAGUCAGUCCUGGGGUCUGUCCCCAACAUUGUCCCAGGACAGCUAUUGGAGAGAGACCUGGGGAGGUGGCUCAGAUAUCCAGGUAGGAUGGUGGCUUGGGGUUGUUCAGGACCACGUGUCAGCAGCACAGCUUGAAACAUGGGUGAGGUAGGAGUCGGGACCUUUUCAGGAUGUUGGGCUUGAGGUUCUGAGAAGACCUGGGAUGAAGAAGGGUCAGGGUGCAGGAGACAUAGUCACUGUGGAGAGCGGUGAGGUUGGGGAAGGUGAGUCAAUGGCCAUGGUAUAGGAGAGCAGGUAGAGGAGGUGGACCCUCCAAUGGGUGUGGGUGUCGGGAAAGACUGGAGCCAGGUGUCCCUGGUAGUACCAGGUGAUUCUCAGGCAUUGCCACAAUCUGGGUCUAUGGUAGGGACCCCCACUGGGAGAAAGUAGCUGAGGGGGUCCCAGCCCCAUCCCAUCCCCUGGGUGGAGGACUACUUCUCAGGACCGUUCCCCCUCAGCUCUUUCAGGGCUUGCUGUACUCACCCUGGAAGGAGAGUUCAUGGGAUAGCCACAGCCCCCCAUGCCCAUGGGUCCCUGCCAGGCCCUGUACUUGCAGGAUAGGGGUCCCUCCUGUGUGUCCACUAACUGGAGAACUAUUUUUCUCAAGUGUCUGAGGCUGAGUCUUAGGGCAGGAGAGGAUGGAGCCAACCCAACCCAGCAGGUGGAUGAUGCCUGACCUGGUGCAGGUCCUUCAUCCUGCAUCCACUCCCUUCCAGAAAUAAGAAGCUGCCUGGGUACAGCACUUGUGGGGCAAAGAUUGGAGCCUUCUCUUGGAGGUUCACUGGGAAACUGAAUCUGGAAGCCUGAAUGUUCACGUGCUGCUUAUUGGGAGUCCCACUAAAUCAAUGGUUGACCAACCACACCUAGGGGAUCUAAGCAUCUGUUUUACCAAACUGCUGGUUUGUGAACAGACCUGAAGCUCAGGGGGUGCUGCCUGCUGGCCACCAGGAGCCACCCAUGAUAUUGGGACCCAGCUGAAGUCCCGGAGUGUCUGUCGUAAAUGUGUGGUGGUCAGUAGUCAAGGCAACACCUCUGUGAUGCUACCCACCUCUGUGAUGCUCACCCACUCAGGCACUCUUGGCCUGGGGUGUGGGAGGCUGAAGAUUGUGACCUCAUUUGUUUGGAUCAUGCGGUGUCUUAAUGAGAUGGUAAUGUAUGAGCUUUGUCCUCACCUACCAGAAAGGUGAAUGUCCCAUUCUCACCUGGCAGCAGUUGGAACUCUGUCCUCAAGGAAGGUAAGAUGAAUGUUGUGUCCUAAAAUUAUGAAAGUUGCCACAGCGUGUCUUCCAUUGAGGGAGGUGAACCUCACAGCAUGUCCUGAACCAGGAAGUGUGAAUGCAGCUUCCUUAUUGAUGGGUGAAUGCCAUUUCCCCACAUAACUGUAGUGUUAACAUUCUGCCUUCACAUGAUGGCAGAGUUAAUGUCCUCACUUCAUUGGAUAGAAUGGUGACUGCACUAUUCUCUACUGAUGUAAGGAUAAUCAUUUCAUGUUCCUGUGAGGGAUAGUGAGCACCUUCUCAGCUGAUGGUGAGGUGAAGGCCAUGUCCAAAUGCAGUACUAACAGGAAUGCUGUGUCCAUAUGUGAAGAUGGAGUGAAGUCCCUACAUCACCUGAUGGGAUGUGAAUGCAAAAUUCUCAGGUGGUGUUAGAAUAGUGUAUAUUCAGUGAUGUAAAAGUGGACCCCAUGCUUUCACAUGAUGGGAUUUUGAAUGUCGUAUCCUCAUUGAAUGGGGAGUUAAAUGCCAUGUGCAGAAAUGAUUGGAGAGAAGGUGAAAUCCUCACUGUCAGAAGUGUGAAUGUCUGUUACACUCCUGAUGGAAGGGUGAAUUCUGUGUACUCGGCUGGUGGAAGCAAAUAUGCCCCUUUCUCACCUGAGGGUAGGGUGGACAUCCUCAUCUCAUGUGUCAUGAUGGUGAAUGCCAGGUCCUUAUGUAGUGAUAGGGUGAAGGUCAUGUCUUCAUAUGAAAGAACAGUGAAUGCCCUGCCCUCAACAGAGGGAAGUGGGAGUGGCUUCUUCACAUAUAAGGAAAGGGUGAGAGCCAUUUUGUCCUGUGAAGGUGGUGCUAAUGCUCUGUACUCACAUAAUGCCAUGUGUUUGUCUGGUGGAAUGAUAAAUGGACUUUACAAUCUUGUAGUAGAGUAAAGAUGCUGUCUUCACUGGAUGGAAGGCUGAGUUACCCCCCUCCCCAUUCCCUACAGAUUGAAAGGCACUCACUUGAACUGUCCUGUGCAAUAGUGAAUGCCAUCUACUCAAAUAAGAGAUGGUUGAAAUCUAUGUCAUCACAGAACAGAAGGGCAAACUCUGUACUGUCAGUUUAUGGAAUUUGAAUACCCAUCCUCUCAAAAAAGGGAAGUGUGAACACACAUCAUCCAGUACAGAGUGAGGAAUUGUCACCCAGUACUCAACUGCAGAAAGCCAAAUUCCUUCUCCUUAUUGACAGUACAGUGAAAGCUGUGCCCUUACAUGAUAGUAAGGCGAAUGCUGUGUUUUCACAUGAAGACAUUGUGAGAUCCUUUCCUGGAGUUGAAGUAAGGGUGAAUGUGGUAUCCUUCAGGUGAUGGUAUGGUAGGAUGAAUGCCCUGUCUUUUACUGAUGGAAGGUUGAAUACUCUAUGUCCAUACAAUGGAACGUGAAGGAAGUAUCGUCAUGUGAAUGUUGUGAAUGCAGGAUCCUCACAUGAUGUUAGGGUGAAGGUUGCAACAUCAUGGAGAUGUGAGCCAUGUGCCCUCACAGAAGUCUGAAUCCAGUAUUCUCAUUAAUUGGAAAAUGAGUACUCCAACUGCAACUCAUGGAAAAUGAAGGUCCUGUCCUCACCUGAUGGAAGGGGGAACUGUGUUCUGUUGAUAGAAGGGGAAAUGUCCUUUCCUCACUCAGGGGAAGAGUGGACACCCUUUUCUUAUGUGUCCAUAGGAUGAAAGCCAUGUCCUUACAUGAUGAAACCCCAUAGGUAGGGGGAAGUCCUGUUCUCAGCAGAGAGAAUGGAUGAUGCCAAGCACUCACCUGAUGUAAGUGUGCAUGUCACUUCCUCUCAAGCUGGUAGGGUUCAAGCCCUGUUCUCACAUGAUAGAAGGGUGAAUGCCACGUCUUCAUUGGGUGGAAUUUUGAAUGCUCUUCCUAAGCCUGAGGAAAGACUCAGUCUCUGUCAUCACAAAUGUCCUAUCCUGUGCUGAUGGAAAAGUAAUGGCGUGGUCACUUCUGUGAGAAUGUGAAUACCUGUUCUUCAACUUAAGGAAGGAUGGAGUCAGUGUUCUUAUUGGACAGAAAGGCAAACAGCAUGGUCUCACCUUACAGAGUUUUAAAUGCCCUCUUCUCACUAAGGGAUGUGUGAACAUACUAUUCAAUAUUGUCUGAAAGAUUUGCACCCAGUACUCACAUGAUGGGAGGCUGACUGUCUUCUCUUCACCUAACAUGGGAUAAAGUGAAUUCCAUUUCCUCGCAUGAAGAUAGGAUGAAGUUUCUGUCCUCCUGAGAUGGAAGGGUAAAUGUGGAGUCCUCAGGUCAUGGUUGGGUGAAUGCCCAGCCCUUUCCUGUUGGAGGGUUGAGUGUUCUCACUUAAUGGAAGGUUGAGGCACGCGUUGUCAUGUGAGUGUCUGGUGAAUGCAGGGUCCUUACAUGAUGGUGGGGUGAAGGCCAUGCUGUCAAGUGAUGGAACAGUGAAUACCUUCUUCUCAGGCAUGGAGAGGUGAACCUCAAGCCUCCACAUUCCAUAAGUUUGAACACAGUAUCCUUACCAAAUGGGCAGGUGCAUGCCCUCUCUACAUCUGAUGGAAGUGUGAGUAUUCUGUCUUCACCUGGUGCAAGCAUGAAUGCAGUUUCCUAACCUGAUGGAGGGUGAAUUCUACAUAGUUUGCUGUUGGAAGGGGAAAUGUCGUCUCCUCAUCUGUGGGGGAGGGUGGACGCCCUCAUCUCAUGUUUCAGCAGAAGGAAACCAUGUUCUCACAUGAUGAGAGGCUGCAAGCUGUGUCUUCACCUGAAGGAAUGCUGUGAAUGGCUGUCAUCUCCUGAGGGAAACGAUGAUGCUAUGUCCAUAUCUGAAAGAAUUUGAUGCCAUUGCAUCUCAUGAUGGUGUGAUUAAUAUGGUGUCUUCAUAUGAUGUAGGGUGAAUGCCCUGAUUCAUCUGGUGGAAUGGUCCAUGUACUUUCAGAUGCUGAGAGGAAGAGUAAGUCUUUGUCCUCAUGAAAUAAAAAGAUAAAUGUCCUAUUCCCUGUGGAUGGAAGAGGGAUCACAUGUACCAACAUGUGAGAAGGUGAGCACCAUCUCCUCACCUAAUGGAAUAGUGAAGUCUGUGUCCUCACUGGACAGAAGUGCAGCCACUGUGUUCUCACCUAAGUCCGAAUGCCCUUCCCUUACCCAUGGAAGAAUGAGCAUGCUGAGUCUAGUCACUGAAGGAUUUCCACUAACAGAAGGCUGAGGUCAUUCUCUGCAAAAAGUUUUAAGGGUGAAGGUCAUGUCCUAAUGUGUGAGGAAGGUGAGUGCCUUGUUCUAAUGUGAAAAUAAGGUGAAGAUCUUGGCUUACAUAAGGGAAGGCUGAACUAGGUGUCCACAAGAGAUGGUAGGGUGAACACCUUGUCCUCUCCUGAAGAACACUGAAUCCCUUUGCUAGCAUCAUGGAAGGAUGAAGGAUGUAUCAUUAUGUGAAAUUCAUGAGAAAACACACUGCAAACAUUUACCUUAGGGUGGAGACCAUGUUGUCAUAUGAUAGAAGAAUGGAUGCCCUGUCCCAAUGCCAAAAGGUGACUCCUGUGCCUGGAAAUGAUAGAAGUUUGAAACUGUGAGCCAUGGAAUGGGAGUGUAACAACUCUGUCCAAAAAUGAUGGAAUAGUGGAAGUCCUGUCAUCACCUGAUGCAAAGUGAAUGCAGUUUUCUCACCUGAUAGAAGGGUGAAUUCUGUGCACUUUCUGAGGGAAGGGAAGUGUCUUCCCCUCAUCUAAUGGAAGGGUGGGCAGCUUCAUUUCAUGUGUCAGUAGGGUGAAAGUUGUGUUCUCACAUGGUGAUACUGUGAAGGCCGUGCCUUUACCUGAAAUAAUGGUGAAUGAUUUUUCUUCAACUGAGGUAAUGGGAAUGUCCUAGUCUCUUCUGUUGAAAGGGUUGAUCUGUUCACAAUGUGGGAUGAACAACUUCUCCCCUAAAGCAAUGGGGAAGACUAUGUCUGUACCAGACAGAAUGGCAGACACCGAAUUCUCGCUUCCUGGAAGGUUAAAUACCCUCCCUUCACCAUGAAAAAUGUCAACAGUCUGUCACCUAGUGUAUGAAGAAUUAUCACCUGUUACUCUGCUGACUGAAGGCCAAAGCCUUGUCCUAACCUCAGGGAAGUUUGAAGGUGAUGUCCUAAAGGUGUGUGUAAGGUGAAUGCAACAUCUUCACUUGAAGAUAGGGUGAAGGUCUAAAUCCUGAUGUGAUGAAAAAGUGUAGGUAGAACCUCAGAUGAUAGUAGGGUGAAUGCUCUGCCUUUUCCUGAUGCAAAGUUGCAAGGUUGAAAGCCUUGUGUUUAAGAGAAAGAAGUAUAAUCAGGUGAGUAUUGGAUGAAUACAAUAGGUGAUAGGAUGAGUGUUGUGUCCUAGUGGGCUAAAGUGGUGAAUGCCUUAUCCUCAGUCAUGGAGAGGUGGCCCCAUGCCCUCACAGGAAAAUAAUGAGAAAACUGUGUCCUCAUCAAAUGGAAGAGUGAUUACACUGAGAGCUCCUGAUGAAUGAGUGAAUGUCCUGCCCUCAAAUGAUAGAAGCAUGAAUAGAGUUUUCUCACAUGAUGAAAAGGUGAACUCUGUGUACUCAGCUGGUGGAGGGGAAUGUCCUUCCUCACCAGGAGGAAGGGUGGGCAGCCUCAUCUGAUGUGUUGGUAGGAUGAAUGCCAAGUCCUCACAUGGUGAUAGGCUGAAGACCAUGUCUCCUUGUGAAGGAAUGGUGAGUGUCCUAACAUGAGCAGAGGAAAGGGAGGACCAUUUUCUCAUUUAUGAGGGAAGGGUGAAAUUCAUUUCAUCUUUUAAUGGUAGUGUUAAUACCCAGUACUCGAAUGCUGGAAGUUUGAAUGCCCUGUGUUUAUCUCAUGGAAGAUAACUGGAUUUUACAAUCUUGAGGUAAGAAUAAAGACUCUGUCUUCACUGGAGAGAGGGCUGAAAGCCAUCCUCUGCAGUUGGAAAGACAAAUGCUUGAACUUCCCUGUAAGACUGAAUGUGAACUGCUCACCAAAUGAUGUUUCAUCUCCAUGACUGACUGCAGAGUCCUCAUAUAAUUGCAUGUUUUCCUCUUGUAAUCUAAGUUUGAUCAACUUUUGCACAUCUGGUGGAAUGGUGACUGAUGUGUUGUAUUGGUAGGACUGGGUGAAUGCAGAGUUCUCACAUCACAAUAGGGUGAAGGCCUUGUUGUCAUGUGAUGGAAAGAUGAAUGCCCUGUCAUCAGCUAUGAUGAGGAGAACCCUAUCACCUCACAUGUAGGAUGUUUGAACUUGGUGUCCUCAUUGGAUGGGGAAGAGAAUGGCUUUUCUGCACAUGAUGGAAGGGGGAAUGUUUUUUCAACUGAGGGAAGCAUGAACACAUUUUCCUCACAUGGUGGAAGAGUGAAUUCUGUUGUAAUCUGAUGGAAUGGGAAUAUUCUUCCUCUCCUGAGGAAGGGUGGGCAGCCUCAUCUGAUGUGUCAUCAGGACAAAUGCUAUGUCCUCACAUGGGGUCAGGGUGAAGAUCAUGCCUUCAUGUGAAGGGAUGGUGAUGUCCUGUGCUCGGCAGAGGAAGGAGAGGUGACUUUCACUUAUGAGGAAUAUGGUGAAUGCUGUUUUGUCUUGUGGAUAUCAAGUUAAUGCCUGGUGCCCACAUGAUUGAAUAUUGAAUGGCCUAUGUUAUUAUGAUGGAAUGGUAAAUGUACUUGGCAAUCCUCAUGGAAGAUUAGAUGCUUUGUCUUCACUGGGGGGAAGGCUGAAUGCCUCAUUCUCUGCUUUUGGAUGGAUGUUAUCUUGACCUCUCCUGUGAGAUGCAGAAUGCUCUCUCUUCACCUAAUGGAAGAAUGCAAUCAGUUUCAUCACUUGACUGAAGGACAAACACUGUAUUACUAUGUAAGAGAAUUUGAAUCUUCAUAAAAGAAAUUAUGAACAAUGUGUCCAUGACAGGCCAUAUGAUUGUCAGCUAGUACUAAAGUAUAGAAGGCCAAAUGUUAUCUUCUCAUCUGGCAGUAAGGUGAAGGCUGUGUUAUAAUAUAAGAAUAUGAUGAAGGGAAUAUCCUCAUGUGAAGAUUUCAUGAAGGUUAUGAAUGAGAGAAUGCAGAAACCUUGUGUGAUGGCAGGCUGAAUGCUCUGUCCUCUCUUUAUCAAAGUUUGAGCACCUCUUGCACAUCUGAUAAAAUGGUGAUGGAUAUGUUGUUAUGCAAGGGCUAUGUGAAUUCAGGGUCCUCACAUCACAAUAAGGUGAAGAUCUUGCCACAUGAUCGAAGGAUGAAUGCCCUGUCCUCAGUUCUGGAGACAUGAACUCUGUCACCUCACAUGUUGGAUGUUUGAAAGUGGUUAUCUAGUUGAAUUGGCAUGUGAAUAGCCAAUCUGUAUGUUAUGGAAGGGAAUGGCCCUGUUCUCCAUGGAGGGAGGUAUGAACACAUUUUCCUCACAUGGUGGAAGGGUGAAAACUCUGUUCUCAGCUGACAGAAAGGAAAUGUCCUCCAUCACCUGAAGGAUGGUUAAGAAGCUUGAUCUGAUGUGUCAGCAGGAGGAAUGACAUGUCCACACAUGGUGACAGGGUGAACAUCAUGUUUUCAUAUGAAGAGAUGGUGCGUGUUCUGUCUUUAGCAGAGGAAAGGGUGGAGGCUUUCUUUACUUAUGAAGGAAAGCUGAAUGCCAUUUUGUCCUGUGAUGUCACUGUUAAUGCCCGGUACUCAAUGAUGGAAGUUGGAGCAACCUGUGAUUAUUUGAUGGAAAGAUAAAGGUAUUUACAAUCUUGAGGGAAGACUAAAGGCUCCAUGUUCACUGGAGGUAAUUUCAGAUGCUCUGUUGUCUGCGGAGAAAAAGACGUUCAUAUGAACUAUUCUGAGAAAUAGUGAAUACCAUCUUCCAACCUAAUGGAAGUGUGAAUUCUGUUUUAUUAUUGAUAAGAAGUAUGAACACUGUGUUCUCACAUUAGAGAAUUUGAAUUACCUCUCCUACAAAAGGAAAUGUAAACACAUUGUCCACUAAAGACUGAUUAAUUCAACCAAUAUUUAACUAAGGAAGGCAAAAUGCCCAGUCCUCAUCAGAAAAAAAGGUUGAAGUCCAUGUUACAAGGUGAGAAUAUGCUGAUGGGAAUGUCUUCAUGUGAAGAUCGCUUGAAGAUCCAUUUCUUUGUGAUGGAAGUGUGAAUGCCGGGUCCUCAUAGAAUGGCAUGGUGCGUGCUCUGUCCACUCUUAGUUGAAGUCUGGCCACCUUCUGCACAUCUAAUGAGGUGGUGAUUGCUGUGUUGUUACGGCUGGGUAAUUUCAAGGUCUUCACAUUGCAGUAGGGUGAAGGUAGGUCUUCAUGAGAUGGAAGGGUAAAUUCCCUGUGCACAUACAUGGAAAGCUGGACCCUCUCACAUCACAUGUUGGACGUUUGAAUGUGGUGUCCUCAUUGAAUGGGAAUGGGAAUGUCUACAUGAAAACUUGAGAGAAGAAUGAAGACUCCAUCUUCAUUGAGGGAAGGUUGAAGGCCCUAUUCUUUGUGGAUGGGUACACACUCACUUGAACUGUGAGGGAAUGAAUGUCAUCUCCUCAAUUAAUAGAAUGGAGAAGUCCAUCUGGAUUGUGGAUAGAAGGACAUUUUCCCUUUAGAGUAUUUGAAUUCCCAAUUCACAAAAAGGUAAGUGUGAACACAAUCUCUAAUAUGUUCUGACAAAUUUUCACACAGAACUUAGGUGAAGAAAGAAAAAUGCCGUCUCUUUAUCUGACAGAAGGAUGAAAGCCAUGUUGCAUAGUGAUAUGGUGAAGGGUAACUUCUUAUGUAAAGAGAGCAUGCAGGUCCUUUUCUCUCAUAUUGAAAGUGUUGCUGCGCACUCCUUAUUGGAUAACAUGAUGAAUGCUGUGUCAUCUAUUAAUCAAAGUCAAAUCACACUGUAAGUAUCUGAUGGAAUGAUGAUUGAUGUGUUAUGAGGUAAGGGCUGUGUGAAUGCAGGGUCCUCAUAUUACAAUAGGGUGAAGGUCCUAUUGUCAUGUGAUGGAAGGAUGAAUGCCCUGUCUUCAGCUAUGACAAGGUGAAUCCUGUCAGACACAUGUUAGAAGUUUGAAUGUGGUGUCCUCAUUGAUGUGAUUGUGAAUGUGAAUGAUUUAGCUUCACCUCCUGAAAGAUGGAAGUUCAUGUCAUUAACUGAGGGACGCUGAACACAUUUUCCUCAUGUGGUGUGUGUGUGUGGGGGGGGGGGUGAACUCUAUUCUCAGCUGAUGGAAGGGAACUGUCCUUCCUCACCUGAGGGAAAGCUGGGCAGCCUCAUCUGAUGUGUCAACAGGAGGAAUGUCAUGUCCUCAUAUGGUGAAAGGGUGAAUAUUUUGUCUUCAUGUGAAGGAAUGGUGAGUGUCCUGUCCUCAGAAGAGAAAAAUAAGGUGAUUAUUUCACUCAUGGAGGAAGGGUGAAAUCCAUUUUUCUUGUAAUGGAAGUUCUUAUAUCCUGUACUCAUUUGAUUGGAAUUUGAAAACACUGUGUUUAUCUGGUGUAAAGAUAAAUGUAUUUGUAAACCUGAUAGAAGAAAAAGACUGUCUUCACUGAAGGGUAUAUGAACACCCUAUUCUUUGGGGAUGGAACGACAUUGAUUUGAACUUUGCUGUGAGAAUAUGAAUGCCGUCUUCUCACUUCAUGGAAUGGUGAAGUGCAUUAGGUAAAUGGAUUGAAGGACAUCCUCCAUUUAGAAAUUUUGAAUGCCAUCUUCACCCAAAGUAAAUGGGAGCACACUUUCCAUUAUAAUCUGAAGAAUGUUCAUCUAGUAUGUAGCUGAAGAAAAUAAAAUACCUUUUUUUCUCCUAACAGAAGUGUGAGGGCUGUGUUAUGCUGAAAGUAAGGUACUCAUGUGGAGAUUGCAAGGAAGUCCUAUUCUCUCAUGAUGGAAGGAUGAAUUCAGAGUCUUUAUGGAAUGGUAUGGUGAAUUGACAUUUGAUCCCCUUCUACGCAUCUGACAUUAUGGUGAUUUAUGUGUGGGUGUUAGAGCUGAGAGAAUUCAGCUUUCUCACAUCGUAAUAGGGUGAGGGCCUUGUUUUCAUGUGAUGGAAGGAUGCAUGCUCGUCAUCAGACAAAAAGAGGUGAACCCUUUCCUGCCAAAUGUUAGAAGUUUGAAUGUUAUGUCUUCAUUGAAUGGAGAGGUGAAAGGCCAGUCUGCACCUGAUGGAAGUUGGAAGGUCUUGUCCUCAACUGAGAGAAGAAUGGCCACAUUUUCCUCACAUGUUUGAAAGGUCAACUCUGUGUUCUCAGGUUAUGGAAAGGGAAUUCCGUCCUCACCUGAGGGAAUGGUGGGCAGCCACAUCUGAUGUGUCAGCAGGAUGAAUGACUUGACCUCCCAUGGUAAUGUGGUGAAGACCAUGUCUUAUUGUGAAAGGACAGUCACUGUCCUGCCCCCAGCAGAAUAAAUGGAAGGUGGGUUCUCCACUAGAGGGAAGGGAGAAUGCCAUUUUUUGUUGUGAUGGUAGUGUUAAUGUUCUGUCAUCACAUGAUCAAAGUUUGAAUGAACUUUGUUUAUAUGAUGGGAAGAUGCAUGUACUUUGUAAUUCGGAAGGAAACGUUAAGGCUCUAUCAUCACUGGAUGGAAGGCUGAAUGUCCUAUUCUCUGCAAAGGGAAAGACUUUGUUGUGAAAUCUUCUGAGAAUUUGCUCUUCACCUAACCAAGUGAUAACUCUAUUUCACCACUGCCAUGAGAGGCAAACAGCAUAUUCUCACAUUUGAGAAUAUGAAUGCCCUCUCCUCGUAACCGGAAUUGUGAAACAAAAUGUUGACUUCAGACUGAAGAAUUGUGAGCCAGUACUUACCUAAAUAGGGCAAAAUCUCUGGUAGUCAUCUGAGCAAAAGAUGAUUGACAUCUUAUAAUAUGAAAAUAUGGUUAAGAGAAUGUCUUCAUGUGAAGAUAGCAAGAACAGCCUAUUCUCUCGUGAUGGAAGGGUGAAUACAGAUUCCUCAUGUAAUGGCAUGGUGAAUGCUGUGUUCUUUUGUAGUUGAAGUUUGACUACCUUCUGCACAUCUGAUUGAAAGGUGAUUGAUGUGUUGUUAUGUUACAGCUGGAUGAAUUCAGGGUCCUCAUAUCACAGUAGGGUGAAGGCCUUGUUGUCAUGUGAUAGAAAGAUGAAUGCCCUGUCCUCAGCCAUGAAGAGGUGAACUCUGUCACCUCACAUGUUGGUUGUUUGAUUGUGGUGUCCUCACUGAAAGGAAAAUGAAUGGCUAGUGUUCACUUGGUGGUACUGGGAAGAUCCUCAUUCAAUGCUGGAAACAUGACUACAUUUUGUUCACAUGUUGGAAUGGCAAACUCUGUUUUCAGCUGAUAGAAGAGCAAUGUCUUUCCUGACCUGAUGGAUGGUUGGGCAGCCUCAUCUGAAGUGUGAGCAGGAUGAAUUUCAUAUCCUCACAUAGUGACCCAAUGAAGAACAUGUCUUCAUAGGAAGGGAUGGUGAGUUUCUUUUUCCCCAUAGAAGAAAUGGAGGAUUAUUUGUUCACUGCUGAGGGAUACAGCAAUGCCAUUUUGUCUUAUGGAAAUGUUAACAUCCUGUACUCAUAUGUUUGAAUUUUGAAUGACCUGUGUUUAUCUGGUAGAAGGAUAAAUGUAUGUACAAUCUUGAGGGAAGAAUAAUGAGUCUGUUUUUACUGUAGGGAAGGUUAAAGCCCUAUUUUCUGCAGACUGGAAGACAUUCACUUGAAGUCCCCUGUGAGAAAAGGAGUGUCAUGUUGUCACUCAAGGGAAUGGUGAAGCCUGUUUUAUCACUGAUUGAAGGACAUUCUUCCUUUAGAAAAUUUGAAUUCCCUCUCGACACAAAGGUAAAUGUGAACACCAUGCCCACUAAGUAUGAAGAAAUAUGACCUAGAGCUUAGCUAAAAGCCAAAUGCCUUCUCUUCUGACAGAGGAGUGAAUGCCAUGUUGUGAUGUGAGAAUAUGGUGAAGGGAAAUAUCCUCAUGUGAAGAUAGCAAGAAGGUCCUGUUCUCUCAAGAAGGAAGAGUUAAAGCAGAUUUCUCAAGUGAUGGCAUGAUGAACACUUUGUCCUCUGCAUAUCAAAGUUAGAGCAUACUGUACACAUCUGACAUAAUGGUGAUUGUGUGCUGUCAUGUAAGGUCUGGGUGACUGCAGGGUCCUCACAUCACAAUAGGGUGAAGGUGUUGUUAUGUGAUGGAAGGAUAAAAAUCCUGUCCUUACGAUGGAUGCUCAGAUGUGGUGCCCUCAUUGAUGGGAAAGUGAAUGGUGAGCCUGCACCUGUCCUCUGCUGGGGGAUGGAAGAACACAUUAUUCUCAUAUGUGUAGUAGAUUCUGUCAUCCCUGGCAGGAAGGCUGGAUACCCUGUUCUCUGUGGAGAGAGGCAUUCUCAUGACCUAUCUUGAGAGAUAGUGAAUGUCAUUCCCUACCCUCAUGGAAUGGUGAAGUCUGUUUCAUCACUGGCAAUAAGGUCAACUCUGCAUCAUCAUGUGAGAGAACUUGAAUGUCUUGUGCUCACAAAGGCAAGUGCAAGCCCAGUGUCCACUACAGACUGAAGAAUUAUCAAGCAGUAAUUACUUAAAGAAAGCAAAAUACUGACUCCUCGUUAGUCAGAAAUAUAAAGGCCAUUUUAUUUAUUUUUUAUUUUAUUUUUAUUUAUUUAUUUAUUUUUUGACAGGCAGAGUAGACAGUGAGAGAGAGAGACAGAGAGAAAGGUCUUCCUUUGCCGUUGGUUCACCCUCCAAUGGCCGCCGCUGCUGGCGCGCUGCGGCCGGCGCACCACGCUGAUCCGAUGACAGGAGCCAGGUGCUUAUCCUGGUCUCCCAUGGGGUGCAGGGCCCAAGCACUUGGGCCAUCCUCCACUGCACUCUCUGGCCACAGCAGAGAGCUGGCCUGGAAGAGGGGUAACCGGGACAGAAUCUGGUGCCCCAACCGGGACUAGAACCCGGUGUGCCGGCGCCAAGGCGGAGGAUUAGCCCAGUGAGCCACAGCGCCAGCCUAAAGGCCAUUUUAUCAUGUGAGAAUAUGGUGACAGGAGUAUCCUCUUGUGAAGAUGGCCUUAAAAUUCCCGUUUCCUCAUGAUGGAAGGGUGAAUGCAGAGUCCUCAUGUAAUGACAUGAUGAAUCUUCUGUUCUCUCCUAAUUGAAGUUUGAACACUCUGUGCACUGCUGAGGGGACAGUGAUUGAUGUGUUGUCUUUUGAGGGCUGGGUGAAUGCAGGUUCCUCACAUCACAGUAAGGUGAAGGUCCUGUUAUAAUGUGAUGGAAGGAUGAAUGCCCUGUCCUCAGCCAUGUUGAGAAGGACCCUGUCACCUCACCUGGAGGAAGUCUGAACAUGGUAUCCUCAAUGAAUGGGAAGGUGAAUGGUCUCUUGGGACCUGAUGGAAGAGGGAAGGUCCUUUCUUCAAUUGAAGGAAGCAUGAACACAUGUUCCUCACAUGUUGAAAGGGUAGACUGUUCUCAGCUGAUGAAUGGGGAAUGUCCUUCCUACCUUAAGAGAAGAGUGGGAAGCCUCAACUGUUGUGUGACAGGAUGAAUGUCUUGUCCUCUCAUGGUGACAAGGAGAAGAUCAUGUCUUCAUGUGCUGGCAUGGUCAGUGUCCUGUACUCUGCAGAUGAGAGGUAGCAUGGUUUCCUGAGUUAUGAGGUUAGGGUGUAUGCUGUUUUGUCCUGUGAUGACAGUGUUAAUGCCCUUUCAUCACAUGAUGGACAUUUGAAUGCCAUGUGUUUAUUUGGUGGAACACUAGAUGUGCUUUACAAUCCCAAGGAAAGAGUAAAUGCUCUGUCCUUGUAAGGCUGAAUGUCCUAUUCUUUGUAGAUUAAAGGACAUUCAUUGGAAUUCUCCUUUGAGAUAGUAAAUGCCUUCUCCUCACUAAUUAAGACUGAUGCCUUUUAUCACUGGACAGUAGGGCAACCAUGGCAUUCUCAUUUUAGAGAAUUUGAAUGCCUUCACCAUCCUGAGGGAAGCAUUAAUGUCCACUUGUCCACUUGUGACUGAAAAUUAUCACCCAGUAAUCACCUGAAGAAGGCCAUGUGCCUUCUCCUUCUUUGAGUUCAGGGUGAAGGGUGAAGGUCAUAUUACAGUGUGAGAAUAUGGUGAAGGGAAUGUCUUCAUAUGAAGAUACAGUUCUUAUUCUCAUGUGAUGGAAGGGUGGAUGGAGUGUCUGCAGGUAAUUGUUAUAGGUGAGUAUUCUUUUAUCCUGCUGGAAGUUUGAGCAGCCUCUGCCCUUGUGAUUGAAGGAUGAUUGAUAUGUGUCAUGUUAUGUCUGGGUGAAUGCAGGAUCCUCAUAUCACAAUAGGGUGAAGGUCUUGUUGUCAUAUGAUGGAGGGAUGAGUGACUUGUCCUCAGCCAUGGAGAGGUGAACUCUGUCACCUGAAAUGUUGGAAGUUUGAAUGUGGUGUCACCAUUGAAUAGGAAUGUGAAUGCCUUUUCUAUACCUGAGGAAUGAGGGAAUGUCCUGUAUUCAACUGAUGGAUGCAUGAACACCUUUUUUUUUAAUAUUUUAUUUACUUGAAAGACAGAGAGGUAGAGCUACAGUGAGAGAGCAAGAGCUAGAGUCAGAGUGAGAGCAAGAGCAAGAGAGAGAGAGAUGUCUUCGAUCUGCUGGUUCACUCCCCAAAUGACCACAAUGGCCAGAGCUGAGCUGAUCCGAAGCCAGGAGUCAGGAGCUUCUUCUGGGUCUCCCACAUGGGUGCAGGGGCCAAAGGACUUCGUCCAUUUUCUACUCUUUCCCGGGCCAUAACAGAGAGCUGGAUCACAUGAGGAGUGGCUGGGACUCGAGCCAAUGCCCAUAUGAGAUGCCUGCACCAUAGACCAGACUUUAACUCUCUGAGCCACAGUGCCAGGACUGUGUGAACACCUUUUCCUCACAGAGCUGAAGGGUGAACUCCCUGUUCUCAGCUGGUGGAAGGGGAAUGGCCUUCUGAGGGAAGAUGGACACAUCAUUUUUGGUGUCAGUAGAGUCAAAGCCAUGUCUUCACAUGGAAAUAGGUGAAGAUCAGGUUUUCACAUGAUGAAUGUUGGCUGCCCCAUCCUCUACAUGGGGAAAGGAGGAUGGCUUCUUUACCUAUGAGGGAAGAGUAACUGCCAUUUUAUCUCGUGAUUGUGAAAUGAAUGCCUAGUCCUCACAUGAUGAAUGUGUGAAUGCCCUGUUUAACUGUUGGGGUGAUAGAUGUAUUUUACAAUUCUGAGGGAGGAGUAAAGGCUUUGUCUUUACUGGACGGAAGGCUGAGUGUCCUAUUCACCAUUCAUGGAAGUUCACUGAUUUGAACUCUUCUGUGAGAUACAAAAUGCCUUCUCAUCACCUAAUAGAAGGGUGACAUCUGAGUCUUGUCAGGACAGAAGGGCAAACAUGUUCUGUUCCUAUAGAAUUUCAAUACCCUUUCCCUACGAUGAAAGUGGGAACAAAAUGUUCACUACUGACUGAAGAAUUAUCACUCAGCACCCAAUUGAAAAAGCCACAUAUUUUCAGUUCAUCUGAGAGUUGGUCCAUUUUUUUCUUUUCCAAUUAAAAUUUAUUUUAAAAAUGUAUAUAUUAUGCAAGUUUCCUGUAUUUCACAAUACAGUUUUAGAGAAGGCAAUGUUUUAAUGAAAGAACGGGUGCAUGGUGUGUCCUCACAUGAAAAUAGCAAGAAAGUCUUCUAAGCAGGAUCUUUAGUAAUGUAAGUGAAUGCUGUGUCCUUUCCAAGUAAAAGACUAUGCACUAUGUCCAAAUCCCAUGGAAGUGUGAUUGAUGUGUUGUCAUGUAUGUUCUGGGAGAGUGCAGGGUCCUCACAUCACAAUAGGGUGAAGGUCGUGUGAUGGAUCGGUGGAUGCUCUGUCCCCCAUAUCUAGAGGUGAAGGCUGUCAUCUCACAUAUCUGAACUUUGAAUUUGGUGUCCUCAUGGGAUGGCCUGUCUUCACCUGAUGGAAGAGGAAGGUCCUGCCCUCAAACUGAGGUAAGCAUGAACACAUUUUCCUGACAUGGUGGAAGGGUGAGUUCUGUGUUCCCAGGUCAUGGUAGGCAAUGUCCUUGCUACAAGAGGGAAGUAUGGACACCUUGAUGUUUCCUGUCAGUAGACUGAAAGCCAUGUCCUCACAUGGUGAGAGGUGAAGGUCAGGUGUUCACAUGAAAGAAUGGUGAAUUCCCAGUCCUUGACUGAGGAAAGGGAUAGUUUCUUGUAAUGUGGGAAGGAUGAGUGCCAUGUCUUUACCUGAUGGAAGUGGUAAUGCCAUUUCUUCUUGUGAUAGUGUUGUUAACACUGUCAUCACACAAUGGAAUUUUGAAUGCCAUGUCUCCAUUUAGUGGAAUGGGAAAUGCUGUUUUUCACAUUUAUGGGAAAGUAAAUGUGUUUUCUUCAUCUGAAGGAAGGCUGAGUGCCUUGUUCCCUGAUGAUGGAAGGAUAAUCACAUGAACACUCCUAUGGGAUAGCGAACACCAUCAUUUCUCCUAAUGGAAAGAUGAAGAAAGUUUGUCAUAUGAGUGGUGGGGAAGUGCAGGGUUCUCAUGAUAGAGUGAAGUACAUGUGGGCCUGUUAUGGAGGUAUUAACAAGCUGUCAUGGGCAUACAGAGGGGAACCCUGCACCCUGGCAUGAUGAAAGUUUUAAUGCUCUGUCCUAAUUAUGACAUCCUGAAGGUGAAUGACCUGGUAGAAGAAUGAAGAUCUGAUUGUCAACAGGAACAUGAAUGCAGUUUCUACAGCUCAUGGGAGAGUGAACUCUGGACUCAGCUGAUGGAAGGGAGAAGUCUGACCUCGCUGGAGAGAAGAGCAAAUGCCAUGUUCCAAGCUUACAGAAUUUGAAUUCCUUCUCAUGGAGGGAUGUGGGAGCAUCCUGUCCUCUACCGAAUGAAAGAUUGUCAUCAGUGCUCACUGGAAGGUGAACAAAGCAAAACCUAUGUCCUCACCUGGCAGAAGAGUGAAUGUGCUCUCCUGAUCUGACUAAAGGCAGAUUGCUUUGUCCACAUCUGAUGGAAUUGUGGAUGCCAUAUGUUCACGUGAAGGGUGAACUCCACGUCCUCAGGUGACAGAAGGUGAACAACAUGACAUGUGAUGGAAAGGUCGGCUUCAGGUUCUGAAAAAAGGAAAAUCACAAGAAUUGCUGACCAAGUCUCUAGGCCUGUUACAAGAUCCCUGGGGCUCAGGCCUCACCCAACUGCUCAGAGGCACAAUACGCUGUCAAGAGGACAGGUGGCCUUCCCUGUUACUCCAACCUUCAGGAGUUACCCUGGGGCUCAGCUCCUGGACCCUCGUGAUGGAAACUGCUGAAUCCAAAAUAUUUGGGGUCACAUCAGGGCAGGAGGAAGGCAGUGACAAAGAAGGCUCCCUAGAGUCCUGGCCCUGGCCUCUCUCUGUGCAACUCAAAGAAAGACUGUGUCCAUCCUGUGGCUCACAGAUCCACAUCAGCUCAGGGGAUAUUCCAGCUCUAUCACAAGUUCUCUUCUGAAGCUCACAGAACCCUGCAGGCUGGAAACUUCUGUUCCCCAGAGAGUAGCAUCCAGUAGGGAUGUAUCCUCUUCCAUGUCUGUCCCAGGGCCCCUGCAACUUGGCCCCAAAAUGUGUAGUGUCCUCCCGAAGACAGGGCCAAAGUCACAUCACCUGGACUAUGGCCCCUGCAGUCUAAGCCAUUCUGGUACAGCGACAGGCAGAGGUGCCAGGCACGUGUUGGGAGAACUUCCCAAGUCUCCCCACUUCCUAGUAGCCUGUGGGCCUCCUCCUCCUCCAUGGUGCAGGUUGUCAUGUUUGCUCCUGGAGCCUGGCAUCCCAUCCACAGCCCAGGCAGGUCAGCAGCAUGAUCCCCUGCCUCCAAGCUGGGUGGAGCUCACAGAACACAUCUCAGGAGCACAGUUCCCUGACCCUGAUGGGAUCAACCCAGCCUCAUCUGUUGCUGGAAGACUGUGUCACCUUGAGUCCCCCGCAAGGGUGUGAGCGCCAGGCCACGGAAUGUCUUGUAGUCCUGGCCUGGCCUGUGCAUGAAUUCAGUACCACCUGUUCCUGUUGGAGCAGAUUCUGGCUCCCUGGGCUGGCAUGUGCAUGAAAAUACCAGCUCAUUGCCUGGGCAGCCUGUGAGAACAUGGAGCAGCAAGACACUUCACUUUGGCUGCCUCAGAGCCACACAGGGUACUUCUAGCCUCCUUCUCGCCUUGCUAGUUAAAGAACAAUAAAGUGUUUGCUUUAAUAUGUUUUGGUCCAUUCUUGGGGCACACAGAGCCUGAGGUUUGUUCCAUUUUUGGGGCACACAGAGCCUGAGGAACAGUGGUUCCUGAUGGUUCUCCUUUGGGGCGACUGGCACUGCAUCUUCCACCUUCAGUCAGAGGUCCAGGUCCCAAAGAUUUAAUACCUUUGGGGUUACCAACCACACAGGGGCCAGGGCUGUGUUGAGUGGUAACAAAGACUGAGUGCAUGGGCAUUGGGACAGUUCAUGAGAUUCUGUGGAACACACAUGUUAGGGUCUUGAGUGACCACUUUGCACCCUCUAGGCUAGCUAGCUUCAGUGUCGAUUCCUCUGUGGUUCUGUCUCUCACUGUGACUCUCAGAAUCCAGCACUUCUUCUUCUUCUUCUUUUUUUUAAUAAGAUGCUUCCAGGCAUGAUGCCAUAAACAAGAGUGUCAAUUUGUUAAGUCAACAACAGGAGUCACUGUGCACUUACUCCUCAUGUAGGAUCUCUGUCCUUAAUGUGGUGUUCAAUGUGAAUUAAUGCUAUAACUAGUACUCAAACAGUAUUUUACACUCUAUGUUUCAGUGUGGGUGCAAACUGUUGAAAUCUUUACUUAAUAUAUACUAAAUUGAUCUCCUGUAUAAAGAGAAUUGAAAAUGAAUCUUGAUGUGAAUGGAA